CUUGGUUCAUCUGGGCAUGCUCAGGUAAUAUGACCUUCAACCUGGGGGUCCAUGGCAACUGAAAAACAACUCACAAUAUUGCUACGUAAAAGUUGAACCAGAUUGGUGUGAUGCAGUUACAACACAAAGAAGAAGACCGACAUGAAUACUUGACUCCUGUAGCUUCUGGUAUCCUCAUCCUCCCAGAUCCUGACAUUAGGCUGAACAUCUGUGCUGGAUUUAGAGGUGGUGUAUUCUCACCUUUUAAGUAAUGGAUAUUUUAGUGAAAAGGUGGUAUCAGGGCCUGCUGUCUAGAUGCCAUUUUUAGGAAGAAGUGUCAGAAAGUUUUUAAGACUGCAAGGAAAGAGAACACUCUCAGGGGGUUGAUACCAACAGGGGUGGAAGUCAAAAUGAGGACAAAGUGAGGCCCUGAGCGUCAGAGAUCAAGGCCAAGAGGGCAUAGCAGAGGGAAUCCAGUUCCAGACAGGCUUGCAGUGCUAUGGAGAUAUAAAGUUCAAGAACACAACAUGCGUGCUUUCGAGGAGCGUAUCAUUAUUCAGGAAGUCAAGACACCAGUGAAUGAAAAGAAAACUCACUUUCUGCAAUAGCGCAAAAGAGCAGUGAAGAUGGUGCUCAGAUGAACUGUAAGUGUUCAGAUGAGGGAAACCAUGGAAGACAUCAUGGAGGAGAUUUCUUCUGUUCCUGGUAGAAUUGUGAGAUGCUGCAUCUGCGUUCCAGCUUUCAAGAAUAUAAUCUAUCAUCUGAAAACUUAAAGUCUUUUUUUAAAAAAAUUAGAUCAAAGCAGAGAGAAAAUGAUCUUCAAGUUUCUUUACCAAACUUGGUAUGUUCUUUUGGACUGAAAACUGAUGGAGUUGGAAGUGACUUUUGUAGUGAAAAUGAGGCUGGAGUAAUUAAUAUUGUUCCAGUGUUCUGGUUAUGCGCAGGAGUGAAUCAUGAUACCCAAAUUACAAUGACUCAUCUCUUCUGAGAGAAUAAAUUGUGAUUCUAUGAAA